ensembl:lncRNA
CCCGCCCUGCUGGAGGCCGGCCUGUCCUGAGUGAAUCGGUCUGAGGUGUCAGCUCUGCUGGCCUAGCUCCUGCUGCUGCUUCUGCGCCUGUCCCGUACCCCUCCCGCGCUCAGCUGAGCCUCCCCCAGACCCCCUCCUGCCUGCUGGGUCUGCUGGGGGCCCAGGUGGCUGAGGGAGGAAGGGACAGAGUCAGGCAGGAUGGCUGGGGACCCCACCUGCUUGGCCCCACCUCGUCACACUGCAGGGUUCGCAGCCACCCUGGGGGCUUGGAACGGGGCCUGGAGGGGGAGGAGGCAGGACUGAGAAGACCCUGCAGGUACAGGGAGGGGCUGCCAUGGCUGAGCUUGGGCUCUGGUCACAGGCUGUGUGUGGCCACCUGCGUGGUCCAGCCUGGGGCCAUGGCUGAUCUACAUGAAGAGUUUGCCACUUCCCUGCCAUCCCUAUCCUGUGGGUACAGAACCAACCCCUAAGCCCAGCCUCCGCCCACUGCCGACCAGCCGUGACCCCGGGUUGCUCCCUAAGGGCCCGUGGAAAUGCCAGGCUGCCCGUUCCUGCCUGAGCCUCUGGGCUGGUGGUGACCGUGUGGUCCCUGGAGCCGGGCAGCUCCAAUGCUUCAGCUGAAGGGCUCCUGGGUGCAGGGGUGCCAGCUGCAGCAGCUCAUCCUGCAGCUCCGGGCCUUUGCUGAGUGCUGCUCUGUUCUUUUCUUCCUUCUGGAACCAAUUCACUCACCCAAGACGCGCGUCGCCGGCAGCAGGGCUCAGAUUGCACAUCCACAUCUGAGGAGGAGUAUGGCUCCCACCACGGCUCCCCCAAACACACACGCUCCCAUGCCUCAACAGCCACGCAGACCCCACGGGCUGGCAGCUCUGUCCGGGCCCGCCCCCGGGCCCCUGGCCUCCGGGACACAGAUGAUGAGGAAGAAGAGCCUGACCCCUACGGUUUCAUUGUGCAGACAGCCGAGAUUGCUGAGAUUGCCAGGGCCUGUGGAGGCUGCAGGGGGUGAGUGGCGAGUUUUGGUGCUGAGGAAGCUGAGCUUGAACAGGUGAGGCACCUAGAAGGGGGUGACCAGAGGCUGGUGGCCCUAGGACAGUAGCCCCUGUGGGGUGGAGGCACACACAUCUCCAGUGGUGGCCCAGGUUGUGGGUGGCAUGAGGUCGCAUCGAGAGGAGGGCCAAGGCCAGGGCUCUUGGGACAGCUGGGGGUGGUCGGAGGGAAGUCACUCACCUGUGCAGAGCGAUGCUGGGGAGGCAGAGGCCAGCCAGGGAAAUGUCCCCGCCCCGCAUCCCUCGGAAAGGGCAGAGCUCGCAUGGCCAUUGCCAGGGGACGGGCCUCGAAGGCCAGUGGGGGCUUCCUGAGCAGAACUGGGGUGGCUGAGGGCAGAGGCCUUGUUCUCAGUGAGCCCUGGGGUGACUGCAGGUGUGGAGGGCUGGGGAACCACAGCCUGGAGCCCUCCCUCUCUCCGCCCUCUCCUGAGAGAGAGGGGAGUGGCGGAUGGCCUUGAGGGACACCCCCCUUGCCCCAAGCCUGGCUGAGAGCUCAGGUGGCACAGAACCUGCUGGGUGGGGGGGGCGGCUUCAUGGACAGUAGGGGGCAAGGACCUGGUCCCCAGCUGGCCUCUCUCCUUUCCCGGGUGGCCCGGGAGCCUGGGGAGGCAUGUGUUACCCAUGUUGGGGCAGAGGGACUGGAGGAUCUAGGCCAGCCUCCCCACCUCCCUGCCCUGUGACAGGCCCCCCGCCCCCCAGGGUCUGCCCGACU